AUUUAUUUAGUUUAAAAAACAUUUUAUUUUCAUUAAAAAAAAGGAUUACACCAAUAAAUA
rnacentral:tRNA from 1 species